rnacentral:antisense_RNA from 1 species
UUCAGUACGACAUUGCUCACAUUGCUUCCAGUAUGUCUUGCCCGCCUCUGUGCGGGCUUUUUUUU